CAGUAGCCACGGUAAAACGAAGGGGGCUAGCGUUGCUCGGAAUUACUUGGCGUAAAGGGCGCGUAGGCGGACAGUUCAGUCGGGGGUGAAAGCCCGGGGCUCAGCCUCGGAAUUGCCUUCGAUACUGGCUGUCUUGAGUAUGAGAGAGGUGUGUGGAACUCCGAGUGUAGAGGUGAAAUUCGUAGAUAUUCGCAAGAACACCAGUGGCGAAGGCGGCUCACUGGCCCGGAACUGACGCUGAGGCACGACAGCGUGGGGAGCAAACAGGAUUAGAUACCCGGGUAGUCCCUGACUCUUAUAC
rnacentral:rRNA from 1 species